GAUGAACGCUAGCGGGAGGCUUAACACAUGCAAGUCGAGGGGCAGCAUAGGGUAGCAAUACUCUGAUGGCGACCGGCAAACGGGUGAGUAACGCGUAUGUAACCUACCCUGUACAGGGGGAUAACCCGGAGAAAUUCGGACUAAUAUCCCAUAACAAUAUCCGGGGGCAUCUUUGGAUAUUUAAAGUUCCGGCGGUACGGGAUGGGCAUGCGUAACAUUAGCUAGUUGGUAAGGUAACGGCUUACCAAGGCUUUGAUGUUUAGGGGUCCUGAGAGGGUGGUCCCCCAACUGGUACUGAGACACGGACCAGACUCCUACGGGAGCAGCAGUGAGGAAUAUUGGUCAAUGGGCCAAGCCUGAACCAGCCAUCCCGCGUGCAGGAAGACGGCGCUAUGCGUUGUAAACUGCUUUUCCAGGGAGAGAAACUUGCGCACGUGUUGCGCAAUUGACGGUACCCUGGGAAUAAGCAUCGGCUAACUCCGUGCCAGCAGCCGCGGUAAUACGUAGCGU
rnacentral:rRNA from 1 species